UACGUCCCGGGCCUUGUACACACCGCCCGUCAAGUCACGAAAGUCGGUAACACCCGAAGCCGGUGGCCCAACCCUUGUGGAGGGAGCCGUCGAAGGUGGGACUGGCGAUUGGGACU
rnacentral:rRNA from 1 species